rnacentral:lncRNA from 1 species
UUAUUCGGGACUUAAGGCGAUCUUGGGUUGUUUACGGCGAAGGUCGGGCGAUUAAAAGCGGAGCAAGAAAAAUAAAAGUUUGAAAAAACAUUUAAGUAAACAAAUCAAACUGUUUUCAAUCGAAACCACUGAUAGCAUCAAGAACCAACCGUGUGGCUCUGAUACCAUAUAACAGCGAGAUAAGUUUUUAAAAGAAAAACUUAAAUAGAAAAAGAAAAGAUUAAGAAGAUGACCGGUGAAUCGAUAAAGUAAUCUCUUUCUUUUAUUUAUAAACAUUUGAGGAAUGGAUUACAUUAAUUCCUAGACUAAAUGUUUAAGGGGGAAGAUCGAAGUAUUAAGGACUUCGUCUUCAUCUUUAACUAAGAAGGUCGAAGCUGAAAGCUUCGUCUCCGACUAACUCUAGAGAGAAGGGAGAGGACCUCGGAAGAGCUUUCUAGAGAGAGAAGCUCUGAGGCUACAUUGAAUUAAGCCUAAACAACUCUAAACACUUCGAGUUGUUUAAAUAUAAAACUAAAAAGUAAAUUACUAUUUGAUUCACGCAGGAAUCCCUAUUACAUUAACUGAAGUAAAAGUAAUUUACUAAAGUAAAAGUAAAACGUAAGAAAUAUUUUACAUUUACUUUUACAUUGGUAAAUGUAAGAAACAUUGAACUAAAGUUAAAAAUAUUUAACUUAAGUAAAAGCAAAAGUUAUUCUUUUACUUUUACUUUUACAUUUACUAAAGUAAAAGACUUUUGCUUUACGGAAAGUAAAAGCUGAGAUGAUGGCUGGGCCAUCACCUGUCUGUGACUUGAAGAUGCCUCUGGCGUCUUCUUCGUUGACUGGUCCGUCUCCUGUGGAUACCGGAAGGUGCUAUUGAUCAUCUUCUCAGAUGAGUCACCAUCCCCAUACAUUUCCACCUUAAAAAUUUUAUCCAGGAAAUAACCCUUUCACCCCCAAAAAUUUGGUUUAUAAAGAAGGAGGAAAAAAAAAAUUCUACCGAAAAUUGGUCAAAAUCUUCAAAAUUUUUUAGAUUUUGUAAAAAAAUUUUAUUUAAAAACAAAUCAGACAGAAAUCUAAAACAAAGGAUCACUCGAUUGGUCCUGAUCUAUCAGUAAAUCGAUUUAAAUAGAAGACAUAUUUGUUAACUGUUUAAACAAAAAUUCUUUCUCUUGAAGGUCCACUUAGACUCAAACCUUACUUGCCUUGAACACAUACCCGUAGAUCUAAAUAUUCCCUUUAGCCUUACACUGCUCCCAAUUGAGACUUACAAACGGAAUUAUUCGGGACUUAAGGCGAUCUUGGGUGGUUUACGGCGAAGGUCGGGCGAUUAAAAGCGGAGCAAGAAAAAUAAAAGUUUGAAAAAAUAUUUAAGUAAACAAAUAAAAUUGUUUUCAAUCGAAACCACUGAUAGCAUCAAGAGCCAACCGUGUGGCUUUGAUACCAUAUAACAGUGGGAUAAGUUUUUAAAAGAAAAACUUAAACAGAAAAAGAAAAGAUUAAGAAGAUGACCGGUGAAUCGAUAAAGUAAUAUCUUUCUUUUAUUUAUAAACAUUUGAGGAAGGGAUUACAUUAAUUCCUAGACUAAAUAUUUAAGGGGGAAGAUCGAAGUAUUAAGGACUUCGUCUUCAUCUUUAACUAAGAAGGUCGAAGCUGAAAGCUUCGUCUCCGGCUAACUCUAGAGAGAAGGGAGAGGACUUCGGAAGAGCUUUCUAGAGAGAGAAGCUCUGAGGCUACAUUGAAUUAAGCCUAAACAACUCUAAACACUUCGAGUUGUUUAAAUAGAAAACUGAGAAGUAAAUUACUAUUUGAUUCACGCAGGAAUCACUAUUACAUUAACUGAAGUAAAAGUAAUUUACUAAAGUAAAAAUAAAACGUAAGAAACAUUUUACAUUUACUUUUACAUUGGUAAAUGUAAGAAACAUUUAACUAAAGGUAAAAACAUUUAACUUAAGUAAAAGCAAAAGUUAUUCUUUUACUUUUACUUUUAUAUUUGCAAAAGUAAAAGACUUUUGCUUUACGGAAAGCAAAAGCUGAGAUGAUGGCUGGGCCAUCACCUGUCUGUGAAUUAAAGAUGCCUCUGGCGUCUUCUUCGUUGACUGGUCCGUCUCCUGUGGAUGCCGGAAGGUGCUAUUAAUCAUCUUCUCAGAUGAGUCACCAUCCCCAUAUAUUUCCACCUUAAAAUUUUUAUCUAGGAAAUAACCCUUUCACCCCCAAAAAUUUGGUUUAUAAAGAAGGAGGAAAAAAAAAAUU